rnacentral:sRNA from 1 species
UUCAAAACCAUUUUCUCAUACCCUUUACAUUGUAGAAUCUAAUUCUCUAAGAGCAUUAUUAAAGGGGGAUAUUAGGGAGAUAUUAGGAGAUUCUUAGAUUGUAAAUGAUUAAAUUUAAAUGUUAAUUAAGCAAUUUAGAGGCUCUCUAAGCUAAGAGGUCCUCUUAAAUAAAAUGUAGUGGUGAUGUGACAUGAUUUGGUUGGUUGGGAAUAAUAUUAAAGCCGAAUUUUUUUUCUUGCCAUUAAUUCUUCUACUAUGUAUAAUACUUCAUAAUAUGAUAGUAAAAAACGAACGAGAUGGUUACACUUACUUUGAUGUCUCUGAAUUCUUACAACCAGAAUCAACUAGAAGUGCACAAGUGGAUUUCACCUAUUCUACAUAUAUGCCUUCAAAUCUCGAGAAUAUAUUGGAAACUCGAACUCGAAUUCGUAAUCGACAAGCACAUCAAUAAUUAAAAUUUGAUUUGGUUCAAUAUAUAU